AUCCAAAGAAAACGUGAAUAAAAAAUUGGAUGGAAAAAAGAUUUAGCCCCGUUCUUCUUUGCGUUUUAAAUAGAAUUUUCUAUUUAAAAAGUUCUUUUCUCUUAAAAGAAACGAAGAACGGCCUCUAUUUUUUUUAAAAAUUCACCAUCUAAAACGUUAUUUUCUCCAGAUGGAGAAGCUAAAAAUUUCACCAUAUAAUUAAAGUACUUUUGGCUGAUAAAUGACCAAAUUAACCUGUUUUCUCCCCCUUAUAAAAACGUUCUUUCCUCUGUUGUGAAAGUUCUAUACCCAUUUUUUUCACAUUUUCGCUGUGAAAGCUCUCUCCUGUUCUUUGUUCCUCUUCCGCAGAUGAGUCCUUUUGCACAUUUUGAUAUGUUGCCACCUCCAGAAAUCAUGGAACAAAAGCUUGCUGCACAGCAUGUGGAAAUGCAGAGACUUGGUACAGAAAACCAGAGAACUGCUGCUACCCAUGGGACAUUGAGAUAGGAACUUGCUACUGCACAGCAUGAGUUGCAGAUCUUGCAUGCUCAGAUAGGAGCUAUAACAUCUGAAAGAGAACAACAAAUGAGGAGCCUUAUGGAUAAAAUAGCUAAGAUGGAAGCAGAACUGCAAGCAGCUGAGCCUGUUAAGGUAGAGUUGCAGUAGGCACACUCUGAUGCUCAAAAUUUGGUGUUCUCUUUAUGUUAUAAGCUGGACAUUGUUAUAAUAGAAUGUUCUUUCAAUUUUAAAACUGUAUGAGCAAAAUGAAAUGGACGAGGAUACUGCAAAUGAGUAAUCACUUUGGUAAUAAGUAUUAUUUAAUGAAAUCUUCUACAUAUUCCUUAA